CCUACGGGUGGCAGCAGUAAGGGAUAUUGGUCAAUGGGGGAAACCCUGAACCAGCAACGCCGCGUGAGGGAAGACGGUUUUCGGAUUGUAAACCUCUGUCCUCUGUGAAGAUGAUGACGGUACCUGAAGAAGAAGCCCCGGCUAACUACGUGCCAGCAGCCGCGGUAAUACGUAGGGGGCAAGCGUUAUCCGGAUUUACUGGGUGUAAAGGGGGCGCAGACGGCGAUGCAAGCCAGGAGUGAAAGCCCGGGGCCCAACCCCGGGACUGCUCUUGGAACUGCGUGGCUGGAGUGCAGGAGGGGCAGGCGGAAUUCCUGGUGUAGCGGUGAAAUGCGUAGAUAUCAAGAGGAACACCGGUGGCGAAGGCGGCCUGCUGGACUGCAACUGACGUUGAGGCCCGAAAGCGUGGGGAGCAAACAGGAUUAGAUACCCCAGUAGUC
rnacentral:rRNA from 1 species